UUAUGGGUGGGCAUUUUACAGCGCUUUUUUGAGAAAGCGCUGUAAUAUGCACACCCAUAUAUGAAAUUAUGGGUGGGCAUUUUACAGCGCUUUUCUCAAAGAAGCGUUGUAAUAUGCCCACCCAUAUAUGA
rfam:Cicer arietinum chromosome Ca5, whole genome shotgun sequence.